rnacentral:rRNA from 1 species
CCUACGGGAGGCUGCAGUGGGGAAUAUUGGACAAUGGGGGCAACCCUGAUCCAGCCAUGCCGCGUGUGUGAAGAAGGCCCUCGGGUUGUAAAGCACUUUCAGUGAGGAAGAACGCCUGGUGGUUAAUACCCAUCAGGAAAGACAUCACUCACAGAAGAAGCACCGGCUAACUCCGUGCCAGCAGCCGCGGUAAUACGGAGGGUGCGAGCGUUAAUCGGAAUUACUGGGCGUAAAGCGCGCGUAGGUGGCUUGAUAAGCCGGUUGUGAAAGCCCCGGGCUCAACCUGGGAACGGCAUCCGGAACUGUCAAGCUAGAGUGCAGGAGAGGAAGGUAGAAUUCCCGGUGUAGCGGUGAAAUGCGUAGAGAUCGGGAGGAAUACCAGUAGCGAAGGCGGCCUUCUGGACUGACACUGACACUGAGGUGCGAAAGCGUGGGUAGCAAACAGGAUUAGAUACCCUAGUAGUC